AAGUGGCGGACGGGUGAGUAACGCGUGGGUAAUCUGCCCUCAAGACGGGGAUAACUCCGGGAAACCGGUGCUAAUACCCGAUAAACUUUAACAGGCUCCGGCCGGUUAAAGCAAAGAUGGCCUCUGAUGCAAGCUGUUGUUUGAGGAUGAGCCCGCGUCCCAUUAGCUGGUUGGUGGGGUAAAAGCCUACCAAGGCAACGAUGGGUAGCCGGCCUGAGAGGGUGUACGGCCACACUGGGACUGAGACACGGCCCAGACUCCUACGGGAGGCAGCAGUGGGGAAUAUUGCCCAAUGGGGGAAACCCUGAGGCAGCAACGCCGCGUGAGCGAAGAAGGCCUUCGGGUCGUAAAGCUCUGUCCUGGGGGAAGAAAGUACUGGGGGUAAAUAGCCCCCGGAGUUGACGGUACCCCAGGAGGAAGCCCUGGCUAACUACGUGCCAGCAGCCGCGGUAAUACGUAGAGGGCGAGCGUUGUCCGGAAUUAUUGGGCGUAAAGGGCGCGCAGGUGGUUAUGUAUGUCCAAUGUGAAAGGCGUCGGCUUAACCGGCGAAUUGCGUUGGAAACUGCAUAACUUGAGUGCAGGAGAGGAGAGUGGAAUCCCUAGUGUAGCGGUGAAAUGCGUAGAUAUUAGGGGGAACACCGGUGGCGAA
rnacentral:rRNA from 1 species